rnacentral:rRNA from 1 species
GGCCGGGCCGGGCGGUCCAUCGUUUCGGUGCGCACUGCUGCGGCCUGGCCUUUACCUCCCGAGCAUGCGUGCGCAUGCGCUCGGUCCUUUAGUGGGCCGAGGGCGCGUACGGGGCCGGGUCGUUUACCUUGAAAAAAUUAGAGUGUUCAAAGCAGGCAUGGCGCCUGGAUAGAUUAGCAUGGAAUAAUAGAAUAGGACGGCGGUCUUAUUUUGUUGGUUCUAGGACUGCAGUA